UACGAAGGGGGCUAGCGUUGCUCGGAAUUACUGGGCGUAAAGCGCACGUAGGCGGAUUGUUAAGUCGGGGGUGAAAUCCUGGAGCUCAACUCCAGAACUGCCUUCGAUACUGGCGAUCUCGAGUUCGGGAGAGGUGAGUGGAACUGCGAGUGUAGAGGUGAAAUUCGUAGAUAUUCGCAAGAACACCAGUGGCGAAGGCGGCUCGCUGGCCCGAGACUGACGCUGAGGUGCGAAAGCGUGGGGAGCAAACAGG
rnacentral:rRNA from 1 species